CAACUGAAGAGUUUGAUCCUGGCUCAGCGCGAACGCUGGCGGCAUGGCUAAAACAUGCAAGUCGAACGCGAAAGCCCCUUCGGGGGCAAGUAGAGUGGCGAAAGGGCGAGGAAUGCGUUCCUACGUACCCCCAGGUCAGGGACAGUCCAGGGAAACUUGGCUUAAUACCUGAUGUGGUCUCCGGAUCAAAGGCUUCGGCCGCCCGGGGAGCGGGGAACGUCCUAUCAGGUUGUUGGUGAGGUAACGGCUCACCAAGCCAAAGACGGGUAGCGGGUGUGAGAGCAUGACCCGCCGCAUCGGGACUGAGACACUGCCCGGACUCCUACGGGAGGCUGCAGUAACGAAUCUUCCGCAAUGCGCGAAAGCGUGACGGAGCAAUGCCGCGUG
rnacentral:rRNA from 1 species